rnacentral:lncRNA from 1 species
CGCCACCAGUAGCCACGCUCUUGGCCACAACCGCAGCGUUGGAACUGCGCGAGGGGGGAUGAGGGGUCCAACCUAGGAAGCAGCGCCAACCAGGCUCCCCGGGGUGGGAGGCCCCGAGCCGAGGGCGCCACCUGUGGGAUCACGCCCCUCUAGCCGUGUGCUCAGGGCAUGACACGAGGGUAGGCAGCCUUGGCCGGGUUGCCACUAGGACUCAGACCCGGUCUCGCUGACAUCAGAGAUUGCCGGACCCUGGUACCCUGGGUGGGACUUCCGCAUCCUGGGUUUUCCCAUCGCUAGGAAUGUUUUACUGGUAACAAUAGUUGAGUUGAGAAGAUCCAUGCUCAUCCUGCGCGUUUCAGCACCAUUUGGACUGCUAGGUGACUUACCAAGCAUUGCAUGGGAGAGUCGUCUAUCAUUUUAAGUAAACGCCUUGGGUGUGUUUCUGGCAUUGUUAUGAAUAUCUUAAGUGCCUGCUUUGCUGCACUUGGUGCAGUUGCCUUAAUCAUUGCGUGUGCAAGUUUUCAGUCAGAAGAAGAUUACACUUGGACACAGUUGGCUGGUACUAUGCUUUUACACUAUUUACUCUUCAUUGCUGUCUCAGAACUGAUCAUUGCAAGUAUAACUAUCCACUGGAUUGUGCAAGCAUUGCAGUAUCAAGAAUACGGCGACGAGAGUUCCUCACUAUCAGAAUUCUCCAUCUCUUCAUAAUUUGCAAAGAACCGGUGUGACUCUAGUCAAGAGCAAAAGAUGAAUCGUGAAUUAGUGAAGAACUCCGUAAUUUUUUUCAAGAGGCCUGAUGGAGAAUGCAUUUUAAUGAAGUCCUUUCUAGUACUCCUUUUUCCUACUUCUUCAAUAAAGGAUGCAAUUUGAUCACAA